GUAUACACGUAGAUACAAAUAUACAGGUACAUGGAAAUCUCUAGAUAUCUAUAUGUUAUAUAGGAUUUGCAAAGACUUGCAAACAUAUGAGGGGGAAAUUCAUAUAUAAAGUUAAUGUAUAUAUAUGGAUAGAUACAAAUAUAAAGGUACAUAGGGAUUGCAAAGGCUUGCAGGGGGAAAUGCCUAUAUAUCUGUAGCAGAGAUUAACAAAUAUUUCAGGGGAAAAUGCUUUUAUAAGAUUAACUGGUAUAUAUAUAUUCUUCUUCCUGACUUGCGAAGGCUUCUUUCCCUUUUCAAAACAUUCCCUUGUUUAAAAGCGAGGGAGGCUUUGGAAAAGUAAACACUGAUAAGGGAGGGUAAGAUGAGAGAUAAAUAUGUCAUAUAUUGCAACUUUAUUGUAAAGGCUUUGGAAAAGAAAACACUGAUAAGGGAGAGUAAGAUGAGAGAUAAAUAUAUAACAUAUUGCAAGCAAUGGCCUCCAGGCUCCGCUGCCGGCUUGACCGUGACCCAAUUAUAAGCUGAGGGAGGCUUUUUCAGCUCACAAAUAAGGGCUGAAAAAGUCAGCUUAUCUUCAAGUAUAUACGGUAUGUAUAUUAUCCCCCUAUCUGUUUUACUUGUAUGCUUGAGACAUGAUACUUAAGGCAGGAUUAGACUUGGGGGAAGGAGACAUGAAAAAUGAAAGAACAGCAACAAUUUGAGGUAUGUGGAUGACACACAACUAUUAGCAGAAAAUACUAAAGACUUGGAACAACUACUGAAAAAAGGUGAAAAAGUGCAAAGGCAGGUUUACAGCUGAACACUAAAAAAACAAAAACAAUUACUAUGGAUGAUUUACAUAAUGUAGAUAAUGGAGACAGUUGAAUAAUUCAAGAUUUUCUAUAUUUUGACAUAUUAGUCAUUAAUCAGAAUAGAUAAUGUAACAAGAAAUUAGUAGACUAUAAAAAAAACU
rnacentral:lncRNA from 1 species